AUGUUCGGUUCAGAGUUCGAGUCAACACCCGAGGCCGCCAGAAAGCUUCUUCCUUUCAUCUUCGGUUAAUUAUUGAGAUGAUAUUCAAGACGAAACAAGAUUUAGGGUGGACUAGACACACACCUAGACUGAUCUAUCUUUUGUUGUUAUGUUACAAUUUGAAACAAUGUUGUUAUUUAUUUUUGAAUCUUGUAUGACAUCUAGUACUGCAAUGAAAUUUGAAUU
rnacentral:lncRNA from 1 species